rnacentral:rRNA from 1 species
CCUACGGGUGGCAGCAGUGGGGAAUAUUGGACAAUGGGGGAAACCCUGAUCCAGCGACGCCGCGUGAGUGAAGAAGUAUUUCGGUACGUAAAGCUCUAUCAGCAGGAAAGAUAAUGACGGUACCUGACUAAGAAGCCCCGGCUAACUACGUGCCAGCAGCCACGGUAAUACGUAGGGGGCAAGCGUUAUCCGGAUUUAAUGGGUGUAAAGGGAGCGUAGACGGCAGCGCAAGUCUGGAGUGAAAUGCCGGGGCUCAACCCGGGAACUGUUCUGGAAACUGUGAAGCUGGAGGGCAGGAGAGGUAGGCGGAAGUCCUGGUGUAGCGGUGAAAUGCGUAGAUAUCAGGAGGAACACUGGCGGCGAAGGCGGCUUACUGGACUGUAACUGACGUUGAGGCUCGAAGGCGUGGGGAGCAAACAGGAUUAGAUACCCCAGUAGUC